rnacentral:tRNA from 1 species
CGGGAAAUGGCUCAGCUUGGUAGAGCGCUUGCUUCGGGAGCAAGAGGUCACCAGUUCAAAUCUGGUUUUCCCGACCA